rnacentral:rRNA from 1 species
AUCCCUUGACAUCCUGCGAACUUUCUAGAGAUAGAUUGGUGCCUUCGGGAACGCAGUGACAGGUGCUGCAUGGCUGUCGUCAGCUCGUGUCGUGAGAUGUUGGGUUAAGUCCCGCAACGAGCGCAACCCUUAUCUUUAGUUGCUACCAUUUAGUUGAGAACUCUAAAGAGACUGCCGGUGAUAAACCGGAGGAAGGCGGGGACGACGUCAAGUCAUCAUGGCCCUUAUGGGAUGGGCUACACACGUGCUACAAUGGAGGGUACAAAGAGCAGCCAACUGGCGACAGUGCGCGAAUCUCAUAAAACCCUUCGUAGUCCGGAUCGGAGUCUGCAACUCGACUCCGUGAAGUCGGAAUCGCUAGUAAUCGUGAAUCAGAAUGUCACGGUGAAUACGUUACGCGGGCACU